rnacentral:rRNA from 1 species
GGAUUAGGCAUGCAAGUCGAACGAGGGUAAUAUUCUUCGGAAUAUAAAUCGAGUGGCGAAAGGGUGAGUAAUGCAUAGAUGACAUACCUUUAGGAUAAGAAUAGCUUUGUGAAAACGGAGAUAAUGCUUAAUAAUUACGAAGUGAAAUCAAUUUUCUUCGUCAAAGGGGGGGCAGUAAUGCCUCUUGCCUAGAGAGUGGUUUAUGUCCUAUCAGCUAGUUGGUGGGGUAAUGGCCUACCAAGGCGAAGACGGGUAGCCGGCCUUAGAGGGUGGUCGGCCACACUGGGACUGAGACACUGCCCAGACUUCUACGGAAGGCUGCAGUCGAGAAUCUUUCGCUAUGCCCGAAAGG